UCCUACGGGAGGCAGCAGUGGGGAAUAUUGCACAAUGGGCGCAAGCCUGAUGCAGCCAUGCCGCGUGUGUGAAGAAGGCCUUCGGGUUGUAAAGCACUUUCAGCGAGGAGGAAGGGUAGUGUGUUAAUAGCACAUUGCAUUGACGUUACUCGCAGAAGAAGCACCGGCUAACUCCGUGCCAGCAGCCGCGGUAAUACGGAGGGUGCGAGCGUUAAUCGGAAUUACUGGGCGUAAAGCGCAUGCAGGUGGUUUGUUAAGUCAGAUGUGAAAGCCCGGGGCUCAACCUCGGAGUUGCAUUUGAAACUGGCAGGCUAGAGUACUGUAGAGGGGGGUAGAAUUUCAGGUGUAGCGGUGAAAUGCGUAGAGAUCUGGAGGAAUACCGGUGGCGAAGGCGGCCCCCUGGACAGAUACUGACACUCAGAUGCGAAAGCGUGGGGAGCAAACAGGAUUAGGUACCCUGGUAGUCCA
rnacentral:rRNA from 1 species